UCACCGCUUGCGCGGGCAGUUUCUCUAGAGUCCCCGGCCGAACCGCUGGCAACUAGAGAUAGGGGUUGCGCUCGUUGCAGGACUUAACCUAACACCUCACGGCACGAGCUGACGACAGCCAUGCAGCACCUAGUUUCGUGCCCUUGCGGGCUGAUCCCUUUCAGGAUCAUUCACUAACUUUCAAGCCCAGGUAAGGUUCCUCGCGUACCAUCGAAUUAAACCACAUGCUCCUCCGCUUGUGCGGGCCCCCGUCAAUUCCUUUGAGUUUCAAUCUUGCGAUCGUACUCCCCAGGUGGAUAACUUAACGCUUUCGCUUAGCCGCUGACAGUAUAUCGCCAACAGCGAGUUAUCAUCGUUUAAGGCGUGGACUAC
rnacentral:misc_RNA from 1 species